rnacentral:lncRNA from 1 species
GAAAAGAAAAGAAAAGAAAAGAAAAGAAAAGAAAAGAAAAGAAAAAGAGCCAGAAAGUUCUGAUGUUUAAUGAACCUUUCAUUCAGUAUAUACAGCUUCUUAUGUAUGCUAAAUAUGUGGAAAAAUCCCAUGGAAUUCAGACCAAACAGUGUGUGGGCUAAAUGGCUGAGUAGGAAAGUAAGCAAAGAUUGUGGAAAAGGCUAAUUUGGUCAUCAAAUCCAGUUGCUCAUGGUUGUGGGCAAUCCUAUCACAUAAUUCAAGUAAUAAAGUAAUGUAUGACUCCUUACCAUUUUUAGGUGUGUGAAAACAAGAUUGUGGAGACUUCCAUUACAGAAGUGUGCCCUUGGCUACAGUAUUUUCCCAUGUUGGAAGCAGGUCUUAUCUCUUACUACCAAUCCUAUGUCUUGGACUUCACAUGUGAAUUAAAACCUGAAUAAUACUGACACAAGAACUUAACAUAUAGACCUUUGUCAUUGUGUCAGUGCGUAAUCAUCAGAAAGGUCAGUGAUGGCUUUGUAACGGCUUGACUGGGAAAAUAAUUGAACACAGGAUUUGACUUGAACAUCUGCAAAAAUUUGAACCAGAAGAACUUGAUCCAGAUUUGUGAAUAUUGCUCACAGGUGAUCACAUAUGGUGAAAAUCACC